UCUCCAGCGAUAUUUGAAACU
rnacentral:miRNA from 1 species